rnacentral:rRNA from 1 species
UACGUAGGGGGCAAGCGUUAUCCGGAUUUACUGGGUGUAAAGGGAGCGUAGACGGCAGCGCAAGUCUGGAGUGAAAUGCCGGGGCCCAACCCCGGAACUGCUUUGGAAACUGUGCGGCUCGAGUGCGGGAGAGGUAGGCGGAAUUCCUAGUGUAGCGGUGGAAUGCGUAGGUAUUAGGAGGAACACCAGUGGCGAAGGCGGCUUACUGGACCGUAACUGACGUUGAGGCUCGAAAGCGUGGGGAGCAAACAGG